UACGUAGGUGGCAAGCGUUGUCCGGAAUUAUUGGGCGUAAAGCGCGCGCAGGCGGUCCUUUAAGUCUGAUGUGAAAGCCCACGGCUCAACCGUGGGGGGUCAUUGGAAACUGGGGGACUUGAGUGCAGGAGAGAAGAGUGGAAUUCCACGUGUAGCGGUGAAAUGCGUAGAGAUGUGGAGGAACACCAGUGGCGAAGGCGACUCUGUGGCCUGUAACUGACGCUGAGGCGCGAAAGCGUGGGGAGCAAACAGG
rnacentral:rRNA from 1 species